rnacentral:rRNA from 1 species
UACGGGGGGGGCAAGCGUUGUUCGGAAUUACUGGGCGUAAAGCGCGAGUAGGCGGCUAUGCAAGUCGGAUGUGAAAGCCCUCGGCUCAACCGAGGAAGUGCACCCGAAACUGCAAAGCUAGAGUCUCGGAGAGGAUCGUGGAAUUCUCGGUGUAGAGGUGAAAUUCGUAGAUAUCAGGAGGAACACCGGCGGUGUAGACGGCUUUCUGGACCGUAGCUGACGCUGAGACACGAAAGCGUGGGUAGCAAACAGG